GAUGAACGCUGGCGGCGUGCCUAAUACAUGCAAGUCGAGCGAACAGACGAGGAGCUUGCUUCUCUGAUGUUAGCGGCGGACGGGUGAGUAACACGUGGAUAACCUACCUAUAAGACUGGGAUAACUUCGGGAAACCGGAGCUAAUACCGGAUAAUAUUUUGAACCGCAUGGUUCAAUAGUGAAAGACGGUUUUGCUGUCACUUAUAGAUGGAUCCGCGCUGCAUUAGCUAGUUGGUAAGGUAACGGCUUACCAAGGCAACGAUGCGUAGCCGACCUGAGAGGGUGAUCGGCCACACUGGAACUGAGACACGGUCCAGACUCCUACGGGAGGCAGCAGUAGGGAAUCUUCCGCAAUGGGCGAAAGCCUGACGGAGCAACGCCGCGUGAGUGAUGAAGGUCUUCGGAUCGUAAAACUCUGUUAUUAGGGAAGAACAAAUGUGUAAGUAACUGUGCACGUCUUGACGGUACCUAAUCAGAAAGCCACGGCUAACUACGUG
rnacentral:rRNA from 1 species